UUACUUGAAUUGCCGAGAGAUCUUUGAUCUUCUUAUUAACCCAUUUUGUUGGUGAAUGCAAGUGCGAGUUGCUAAGUAACUGGGGUUUACGGUGAAGUUGCCACGGAAGAGGAGAACUCUAUAGAGCUUCUACAAAGAUCUCGGA